rnacentral:rRNA from 1 species
UACGUAGGUGGCGAGCGUUGUCCGGAAUUACUGGGUGUAAAGCGCGCGUAGGCGGGAGGCCAAGUCCGUUGUGAAAUCGCCCGGCUCAACUGGGCGCGGUCGGUGGAAACUGGUCACCUGGAGGACGGUAGAGGCGAGUGGAAUUCCCGGUGUAGUGGUGAAAUGCGUAGAGAUCGGGAGGAACACCAGUGGCGAAGGCGGCUCGCUGGGCCGGCCCUGACGCUGAGGCGCGAAGGCGUGGGGAGCGAACGGG